rnacentral:rRNA from 1 species
GCAUCGAUGAAGAACGCAGCCAGUUGCGAUAAGUAGUGUGAAUUGCAGAAUUUAGUGAAUCAUCGAAUCUUUGAACGCAAAUUGCGCUUUCUGGAUAUCCAGGGAGCACGCCUGUCUGAGCGUCGCCUAAUAAUCAACACACCUUGGUGUGGGUAGGGAGCUUAGUUAGCUAGUUCUAACUAUCUCUUGAUGUUUCUGAACCUGGCAGUGUACUCUGUGUACUGCUUGGAAGGCUCAACUUGCUUCUGUCCUUCUAAAGCACGCUCGGUGUACUAAGUUAGGUUCCCCUUCUGAAGUAACAUUCAGAAACUUACUAUUUUGACCUCAGAUCAGACGAGACUACCCGCUGAAUUUAAGCAUAUCAAUAAGCGGAGGA